rnacentral:rRNA from 1 species
GACAGAGGAGCCAAGCGUUGUCCGGAGUAACUGGGCGUAAAGCGCACGCAGGUGGUUCUGUGCGUGGGGUGUGAAAGCUCUCGGCUUAACUGAGAGAGGCCACCUCAUACGGCAGAGCUCGAGCCCGUGAGAGGUCCACGGAAUUGCCGGUGUAGUGGUGAAAUGCGUAGAGAUCGGCAGGAACACCCAGGGGGAAACCAGUGGACUGGCACGGUGACUGACACUCA